rnacentral:tRNA from 39 species
UGGGUCGAGCUGGAUUUGAACCAGCGUAGACAUAUCGUCAACGAAUUUACAGUCCGUCCCCAUUAACCGCUCGGGCAUCGACCC